GAAAUGCGAUAAGUAAUGUGAAUUGCAGAAUUCCGUGAAUCAUCGAAUCUUUGAACGCACAUUGCACCCUCUGGCAUUCCGGGGGGCAUGCCUGUCCGAGCGUCAUUACGCACCCUCAAGCCCGGCUUGUGUGAUGGGCCCCGGCGUCUCGUUCGCGAGACGGGCCCGAAAGGCAGCGGCGGCGUCGACCCGAUGAGCCCGAGCGUAUGGGGACUUCUGUCACACGUUCGCGGUGCGGACCGGCGCCUGCUUGACUUUUCUGAUUAUCCAGGUUGACCUCGGAUCAGGUAGGGAUACCCGCUGAAGUUACGC
rnacentral:misc_RNA from 1 species